CCUANGGGUGGCUGCAGUGAGGAAUAUUGGGCAAUGGGCGCAAGCCUGACCCAGCAACGCCGCGUGGAGGACGAAGGCCUUCGGGUCGUAAACUCCUUUUACGGGGGAAGAGGAAGGACGGUACCCCGAGAAUAAGUCACGGCUAACUACGUGCCAGCAGCCGCGGUAAUACGUAGGUGACGAGCGUUAUCCGGAAUUACUGGGCGUAAAGCGCACGCAGGCGGCGCCUUAAGUCUGACGUGAAAUCCCUGGGCUCAACCUAGGAACUGCAUUUGAGACUGUAUGGCUAGAGUGUGUCAGAGGGGGGUAGAAUUCCACGUGUAGCAGUGAAAUGCGUAGAUAUGUGGAGGAAUACCGAUGGCGAAGGCAGCCCCCUGGGAUAACACUGACGCUCAUGCACGAAAGCGUGGGGAGCAAACAGGAUUAGAUACCCUANUANUC
rnacentral:rRNA from 1 species